rnacentral:rRNA from 1 species
AUUAAAGUAACAAAGGGCACACAAGGGAUGCCUAGGUAGAAAGAGCCGAAGAAGGACGUGGUAAGCUGCGAUAAGCUUGGCGAAGUUGCAAACGAACGUGGAUGCCAAGAUUUCCGAAUGGAGCAAUCUGUAAAGAGUCAUGUCUUUACACGAAAGAGGGAACCGGGUGAACUGAAACAUCUAAGUAAUCCGAGGAAAAGAAAGUAACAACGAUACCCUAAGUAGCGGCGAGCGAACGGGGUAGAGCCUAAACCGUAUUCAUGUCAAGGAUGCAGCCGUUGUGGAUACGGGGUAGCGGGAAAGAGAGAGAAAGAACUGCAAGCUAUUUCGCAGACGUAAGCAAAGGAACAAGAAAGAUCUGGAAAGGUCUACCGUAGAAGGUGAAAGUCCUGUAUUGGUAGUUUUCUUGCGCUGUAUCUCUUCUCCCAAGUAAUGUGGAACACGAGGAAUUCUGCAUGAAUCUGCGAGGACCAAAUCUCGUAAGGCUAAAUACUCUUUCUAACCGAUAGCGCAUAGUACCGUGAGGGAAAGGUGAAAAGAACCCCGGGAGGGGAGUGAAAGAGAACCUGAAAUUGUGUGCUUACAAGCGGUCAGAGCCACUUUGGUGGUGAUGGCGUGCCUUUUGGAGAAUGAUCCUGCGAGUUACGUUUCAUGGCGAGGUUAAGAAGAACGGAGCCGAAGGGAAACCGAGUCUGAAUAGGGCGCAAGAGUCGUGGAGCGUAGACGCGAAACCCGGUGAUCUAAGCCUGUCCAGGAUGAAGCUGUGGUAAGACACAGUGGAGGUCCUAACCCACCGCCGUUGAAAAGUUGGGGGAUGAGGUAGGUUUAGGGGUGAAAAGCCAAUCGAACCGGGAGAUAGCUCGUUCUCUCCGAAAUGCAUCUAGGUGCAGCCUUGCGUGUUUAAUGAUGGGGGUAGAGCACUGACUGAACUAGGGGGCAUAUAGCUUACUGAAUUCAAUCAAACUCCGAAUACCAUUAUUCAAGAGCGCAGGAGUGAGACCAUGGGAGUUAACUUCCAUCGUCGAAAGGGAAACAACCCAGACCACCAGCUAAGGUCCCAAAUCAUAUCUAAGUGGGAAAGGAGGUGGAGAUUCUUAAACAACUAGGAGGUUGGCUUAGAAGCAGCCAUUCCUUGAAAGAGUGCGUAAUAGCUCACUAGUCGAGAGUCUCUGCGCCGACAAUGUAACGGGGCUAAGAUAUGAACCGAAGCUGUGGAUGUCGUAAGACAUGGUAGGAGAGCGUUCUGUAGGCCGU